GAUUGCGACCCCCCGGCCCGGACAGGGUGAAUUUAGAGGUCGAAAGACGACCUUCCUCUUCACCAUCUUUCUGACCUCCGAUUGGAGUUCCUCUGGCCGCUUCACCGCAGGCUCUGGCUUCCUUUUCUCCAGGUAUAGAUCUGGUUACUAAAGCUGUCACCACUGAGGUUUCUACAGGACUGGGGCGACCCUGGCUUGGCUAGAUUUGUGCUUUUACGGGACAAUUUCUGGAGGCUUACCAUAGGCUAAUUCUUUGCCUGCUUCCCUUCCAGCACUUUCCAGGGCAGGGUGAUUUAAAUACCCCGAAGUUUGGUUUUCUCUGAUUUUGGCUUGCCAAUAACCGCAUCCGUACUGGCCAACCCAAUGUGAAAGUGGAAUUUUGGGUGAAAUUCUUCCAACGGAGGCAUAAAAUUUUACUAUUUUCAUCACCGCAGGAAUAGAUGUAUGCCCACAGAAGUGGGAUACACGGUGCACAGAUGUGUCUAGGUUAGAGAUUACUGACGUAAGUUUUCUCUUUAUGAAAACAAAUCUCAUCUUGAAAUUCAUCAAGCCAAGGGAAAAAAAGUCAGAGAGAAUGAAUUUUUUCCUUGAGCAAAGUUCAACUCAGUUUAAUCAUUUAAAAGAAAACACGUUUUACUCCUGCCCAAGUAGAGUCUAGUCAUGUGACUCCGAGUUUAAAUAUAGCCAGCGCUCCUGUGUUCUCCAGAGCAGCCAAAUUUUUCUCGAUACUCUUGAUUUCAACUGUUUCCCCAGACUUGUCUCCGUGGCUGUGCUUGCACAGGAGUCUUGCCAAAGCCUGCGUUCUCUCUGAGCUCACACAUAAUGUCAGCCACAUUUGGAGUCCUGGCUUCCAGGAGUCUGGAAGGGCUAGACAGAGGGAGGCAUUGCACUGCAGGCCUGUCAUCCCAGCACUCGUGGAGCAUAGGCAGGUGAUUAGGAGGUCCAGGUCACCUCCGGGAAUGCUUUCUUAGCAAGUUUGAGAGGAUAGUCUGGGCUGCAGGAGACCAGCCAUCUAAAAACAAAACCCACACUAAUACCGAGCGCACAGGCAGCCUCCAAGAUCCUUUCUAAGGGUAGACAAGAGUCUGCCCAGAGCGAGUUAGUCUCAAGAAUCUCAAAAAAUAGAAGACAAGAGCUAAACUUCCAGACAGGAGCCUUACAGUCACACGUAGACUUCUGUUUUGUUUGAGACAGGGUCUCUCUUUGUGACUCUGGCUCACCUGGAACUCAUUAUGUAAACUAGGCUAACGUUAAACUCACAGAAAUCCUUCUACCUCUGCCUCUUGAGUGCUGGGAUUAAGGGCUCAGGCCUCAAGGGCUGCCCCCAUAUCCAGGUACCUUUCUAUGGAGAGAUUAUGGACGUUUGCUGGUGAUGGUGGAUGGCGUGUGAGGCUCAGCUUAAGCACUUUUGGACUAACUCUGAAAACAAGAACCUGUACUGUUCCUUCUACAGCUGGAAUGCAAGAUCCUGAGUGGAGUCCAGGUGGUGGGUCUGGGAGCCUCCAGAGAGUCAUGGCCAGUCAGGAUGGCUGCCGUCCCCGUGCUUCUGGAGAGGGGCUUAGCCAAGAGGAAGCCACCCCAAAGGCUGAUCUCCUGACAGUUGAGCCGGUCCCCUGACAUGUGGCAUGCUGCAGAGCCUCGGAGGAAAGAGACAGCAACACUGACGAAUGAGGUCAGCGGGACCUGCUGAGUACCCAGUGGAUGUGGAGAACAGUGGAGGCAGAGUGCCCGCUCAGAUUACAUGAUUAACUCUCUCGGUCACCAGUGCCUAGCAUCCAGGCUGGGCCCCAAGGAUGCAGAGGCCAGUAGGACCCAGAGACCUCCUGGCCGGAGAGAAUGGCAGGCCCGUAGCUGGGGGUUGGAUGCCAUCCGAUAGGUGUUUGGGGAAUAUUCUGGAGGGCAAAGGGCACUGAUGCCAGUGGAUAAAAGGGCUCUUGGUUACAAGAACCAGCACUGGGUUAGAUGAAUGCUACCUGUCCCAGUUGCGGUUCCUAUUGCUAGGGUGAAGCACCGUGACCAAAAGCAAGUUGGGGAGGGAACCGUUUGUUGGCCUUACACUUCCUCAUCCAUAAUCCAUCAUUGAGGGAAGUCAGGACAGAAACUCAAGCAGGGCAGGAUCCUGGAGACAGAGGCUGAUGCAGAGGCCAUGGAGGGGUGCUGUUUACUGGGUUGCUUCCCAUGGCUUGCUCAGUCUGCUUUCUUAUAGGAUCCAGGACCACCAGAUCAAAUAUGCCACCACCCAAUGGGCUGGGCCCUCACCCACCAAUCAAUCACUAAGGAAAUGCUCUAUACAUUUGCUUACAGCCCAGUCUUCUGCAGGCGUUUUCUCAUCUGGGGGUCCCUCCUCUCAGAUGACUCUAGCUUGUGUGAAGUUGACACAAAUCUAGCCAGCGGACUGCAUGAAACUCGGAGACUGGUCUUGGUGAGGAAACCAAAGGAGCUGACUCAGAAAGUCAACGGGAACCAAGAUACCCUGCGCAGCAGAGAAUUCAAAGUAUAUCAGGCUCAUGCUGGAAGAAGGCUCGGCAGUUAAGAGCAUAUACUGAGUCCAGAGGACCUGAGUCCACUUGCCAGCAAUCACACCAGGUGUCUAUAACUCUAGGUCCAGGCCAGAGCUCUGCAGCACCUACAACCAUGUGCGCACACACUUACAUAUAACUAAGACUAAUAAAAAUGAACGUUUUUAAAAAA